rnacentral:tRNA from 1 species
GCGGAAGUGGCGGAACGGCAGACGCGCUAGCCUCAGGAGCUAGUGGGAGAAAUCUCGUGGAGGUUCGAAUCCUCUCUUCCGCACCA